rnacentral:misc_RNA from 1 species
AACGCACCUUGCACCCUUUGGUAUCCCGAAGGGUAUGCCUGUUUGAGUGUCAUUAAAUUCUCAAUGCCCAUAAUUUAUUUUGUGGACAAUUGGACUUGAGGGUUUGUCGGCUUUGUACGACUCCCUUUAAAUGUAUCAGUGGUAAUCCCCAUUAAAAUUUGGUGUGAUAGUAUAUCUAUUCAUCAUAAGCAAUGUGGGCCUUAGCUGCUAUCUAACUGUCGAAAGACAUUUUGAACCAUUUGACCUCAAAUCAGGUAGGACUACCCGCUGAACUUAA